AUACGGAGGAUCCGAGCGUUAUCCGGAUUUACUGGGUUUAAAGGGUGCGCAGGCGGCCAUUUAAGUCAGCGGUUAAAUCGUGGGGCUCAACCCCAUUCUGCCGUUGAUACUGGGUGGCUUGAUUGCGGUCGAGGUUGGCGGAAUUCGUUGUGUAGCGGUGAAAUGCAUAGAUAUGACGAAGAACACCGAUUGCGUAGGCAGCUGACCAGACCGCAAAUGACGCUCAUGCACGAAAGUGCGGGGAUCGAACAGGAUUAGAUACCCUGGUAGUCCGCACAGUAAACGAUGAAUACUUGUUUUCGGCGAUAUAAUGUCGGAGGCAAAGCGAAAGCGAUAAGUAUUCCACCUGGGGAGUACGCCGGCAACGGUGAAACUCAAAUGAAUUGACGGGG
rnacentral:rRNA from 1 species